GUAACUGACAAAUAUAUACACAUUACUUAAUUCCACUCUCAUGCUCCACUAGUCAUUACCGCUAUUAUUCGCUUUUACUAAUCGUUCUGUGGGUGAGGGUGAGGGACGGGUAGAGGACGUGUUGUGUACUCGUCCACCUCUUGUUUACCUGGGGUCGGGCUGCUGCCAGAUGUCCGCCUCGCACCAUCACUCACUCUCAUAUUUCCCCAACUAACGACUCACUCAUUGCCUCCAGCUUUGCUGUCUCCAAGGUGACAAAAUCAAAAGUGAGCAAUUCCCACAGGCUGUAGGACUCUGGACCACUAGGGUGACAAUAUAUAUUGUAUCAGGCAAUAUAUAUGUCUGGAACCCUUGAGUUUAGAGACAAAACCAUAAGUACCCAGAGUCCACAGGCAUGGCCCUGUGACACCUGUGAGCACUGAGGGAAUACUAUUAAAAGUGCUCAGAGUCUACAGAUACAGAACUGUGGUGCUCAGGAUCCAUAAGCAAUCCUCCACCACCACCUUCUCCUCCACCAACACCUCCACCAACGCCACCUCCAACACCGCCUCCAACACCACCACCCACUCCACCACCCACACCUCCCCCAUCUCCUCCACCCCCUCCCCCACCACCCCCACCACCACCACCGCCAU